AAUGGCAGCCCCAGGAUUGGAUCAGAUUCAUCAUCAAUGUGGAAAUUCACAUUUUAAUGUGGAUUUUAAUGGAAUAACUGGAAAAUGCAGGAGUUUUCUGGAGCACAAUAAAAGGCAAUUAAUGGCAGCCCCAGGAUUGGAUCAGAUUCAUCAUCAAUGUGGAAAUUCACAUUUUAACGUGGAUUUUAAUGGAAUAACUGCAAAUUCAGGGUUUUCUGGAGCACAGUAAAAGGCAAUAAAUGGCAGCCUCAGGAUUUGUGUCA
rnacentral:lncRNA from 1 species